rnacentral:lncRNA from 1 species
AUAGCCAAGAGUGAGAUAAAUUUUUUAAAGAUGAAUCUAUAGCCUAGGUUAAGUGUAAAAAGAUCAUAGAGCAUCCUGUGGAGCCAUGACCAUCUCUGUCCAAGUCAGCAAGCCUAAUCUAGGGACUGGAGAUCCUUCACCGAUCUUCUGUGGUCUGUGUCCCUUGUCUCAUCAUGCCUUCCCCAUCCCACAAGAACAGGAUGUCCUCUUUCCACUUUCUACCCAAUCAUCAGAGUAGGAGGCUGAGUCUUCUUGUCCUUUUCCCUUCCUCGCUAUCUGCAUCCUGACAUCUAGUGGCUCUUGUUUAUCCUCUCCUCAAGGCUACUGUCUCCUUGAGAAGGUCCUGCAUUGCCCAGAAUAAAACAAAGGUGUUCCUCUAACCUCCCCCCUCAUCUUUCCCGGAGUAUGAACUUGCCAUACUGAGGCUCUGACUUAUGGGACCCCAUGCAGUGACAGGUAAAACACUGGGGAAGAAUGUGUUUGUGUCUUUGCACAAGUGGAUCCAAUACCUCUGCUGAAAUAUAUAUUGUUGGGAGUUUGAUCACAUGCUGCCAGAAGAGCUCUUCUGUACCUCCAUCUUGUUCUCACCAAGAUGAUCUCAAGACUAAGAGCCUUGUCCCAGUGGCCUGUGCCUCUCCAUCAUCUAUGUGUCUGCCAUCAAGGAAAGAGUAUCGUGCAUGAUGAAUUGAAUUAUUAGCUACAGCAUAGCAUGAUUUCAGCAGCAUGGGAACAAUGCCUUGGAGAACUCUCCUGCAUGGGCUAGAAACCCAGAGAAAGCCCUUGGCCUUCUUCUUCUAACAAGAUAACAGCCCUUAACUCUGAAGAGAACAUUCCAUAUGUAUCAGCUUUGCCAAGGAAAGGGAGCCAAGCAAAAGUGUUUCCAGCUCAUGGAAGGGCCUCAAGGACCCAGUGCCAACUUGCAGCAGGUGAUUCACUCUCAGGCAGAAUCACCACACCUUGUCAUUGCCAAACCAUCUGUCCAUCAAACCAGCAACAGAACCCCAGCCCUGCUUGGCCCAGCAGAGCCAGAUCUCAGAACUCCCAUGAGCCCCAAACUGCCAGCCAGUCAUGACUCCAAUCUUGGGCUCUCCUACAGACACCGAGUUGUAUGUGUCUUGUUCAGAGAUGUUUAUAGCUCAAGUUCCAGAGACAACUUGGAGAAUUCUCAAGCUGUAAUCUACUUAAGACAAAAAUCCAUGACGUCUUCUUGGAAUCAGUCCAUAUUCCCAGGGGAGCAUUCCAACCUGUACUUUGGAAUAUUCCUGCAUGCUGUAUGCCAGGUGAGAAAUUAGAAAGGUAGACCGUUAGAUGACCAGGCAUGCUAAAAUGAAAAACACAAAUCUGCAAAGGAAAGAAACACAGAACAUGGAAUCCCAUUCCCGAACAUGAUUCCAGCAGUGCAAGCCAAACACAGGAAGCUUUACCCAGGAACUGAAGUUUGUGUCAUCCCCUAGACAGCAGUGGUCAGGGCCAAUUUGUCAGCUCAUAGCAUGGAUAUCAUCUUCAAUGGCCAGGACCCCUACGCUCAGCCCUUCCUGGAACACAGUGAUCAAUAGCAGGGGUCGCUGCUUAGACCUGUGUCAGAAUCAGACAUAUCCAGGGCAAAUUUCCCAGAAAUCUAACUCAUAACUGAACAGCCUUCAGGGAAAGAAUUCCUCCUGAAGCAAGACUCAACAAUGGACAUCAUGAUAUAAAGUUUCUGUGCUUCAGCGAAAGGGGAUUCUCAAGGCACCCUGGGCUGACCCUCAUACCUGUCCCCUGUGGAUUCACGACUAUCAUCUCAUCUGCCUGAAGACAAGCUAGUAAACUACAACAUGGUGGGACAUAAAUCAGCCUUCAGUCUGGAACUGUGAGAGACCCUGCACAGCACUGUGGCUCAAAAGGACCACAGCCCCGAUUAGAGGGACCUUCCUGUGGGGGUGACCAAUUGGGGGUGGGGGGAACACACAAAGCAGAAAACAGAAACAGAAGCCCUGCUUGGGGAGCAUGACAGGACCCUGGGACAUGAGGAACUCAACAAUUGGGACAGCAAUUCCUAGGAGAAGGAAAGAGGGCUGCAGAAUGAAACCAAGAAGAGUGAGAAAUGACGCAAACAUUCAAGAGACAGUAGACUCUGAUCAUAGACCAUGAAAGAAUGGGGACAAGUCUGAAAAAUAUCUCCAGUUAAAAUUGACAGUGACAGUGCAUGUGGAUGAGAGGGCGGGUGGUGAUGCCUCGGCUUCUAGAUAAGUAGAUAAACAGAUAAAUAGAAUAACUAGAUAAGUGGAGGAACCGUUUAUUGCAUCUGAGACUAGGAUCGGCAAGAUGGCUCAGUGGAUGAAGGCCCUUGAUGAAGCCUGAUGACCUGAGUUUAGUCCCUAAGACCAACAUGAUGGAGAGCAAGGACUGGACACACUAAAUGCCGCACAGGGGUCACACGGAGGACAACCGG